rnacentral:sRNA from 1 species
GUCUAGCCCCGAUGGAAACGGCAUCCUUUUAUGGUGGGGUUCACCAUAAAAGAUAGAGUGGACAGCGGGACAAAAG